rnacentral:rRNA from 1 species
GCUUUUGGGCUAUAAUAUGAAAUUGACAUAAAGAUCAAARGGUCUUUAUGGCUCAAAGGGACGAUAANACCCUAUAAAACUUUACUAUGAAGCUWGUUAUAUWGACAKACUUAAAUAUUUAUAKUUUAGSKGGGGSGGCUUUUAUAAAAACAAUUAUAAUAUAAAUAUAUUUAAUAAAGGUUUANAACUCCUGCAGGAAAUGAUUAAGUUACUUUAGGGAUAACAGCAUAAUUCUCCCAGAGAGUCCUUAUUGGCGGGUGAGCUUAUGACCUCGAUGUUGAAUUGGGGUGUCUAGUGUAARCARAARUAUAUUAAGAUAGUCUGUUCGACUGUUGAAUCCCC